rnacentral:rRNA from 1 species
ACGCACGCUGGCGGCGUGCUUAACACAUGCCAGUCGAACGGAAAGGCCCUGCUUUUGUGGGGUGCUCGCGUGGCGAACGGGUGAGUAACACGUGAGUAACCUGCCCUUGACUUUGGGAUAACUUCAGGAAACUGGGGCUAAUACCGGAUAGGAGCUCCUGCUGCAUGGUGGGGGUUGGAAAGUUUCGGCGGUUGGGGAUGGACUCGCGGCUUAUCAGCUUGUUGGUGGGGUAGUGGCUUACCAAGGCUUUGACGGGUAGCCGGCCUGAGAGGGUGACCGGCCACAUUGGGACUGAGAUACGGCCCAGACUCCUACGGGAGGCAGCAGUGGGGAAUAUUGCACAAUGGGCGGAAGCCUGAUGCAGCAACGCCGCGUGCGGGAUGACGGCCUUCGGGUUGUAAACCGCUUUCGCCUGUGACGAAGCGUGAGUGACGGUAAUGGGUAAAGAAGCACCGGCUAACUACGUG